GUCAAUUCAUUUGAGUUUCAUUCUUGCGACCGUACUCCCCAGGCGGGGUGCUUAACGCGUUGGCUUCGCCACACCCAAGGGUCAACACCCGAUAUGGCUAGCACCCAUCGUUUACGGCGUGGACUACCAGGGUAUCUAAUCCUGUUUGCUCCCCACGCUUUCGCGUCUCAGUGUCAGUAAUUGGCCAGGUCGCCGCCUUCGCCACUGGUGUUCCUCCCGAUAUCUACGAAUUUCACCUCUACACCGGGAAUUCCGCGACCCCCUCCAACACUCGAGCUGACCAGUUUCCAAUGCAGUUCCACGGUUGAGCCGUGGGCUUUCACACCAGACUUGGACAGCCACCUACACGCCCUUUACGCCCAAUAAUUCCGAACAACGCUUGCACCCUCCGUAUUACCGC
rnacentral:misc_RNA from 1 species